rnacentral:lncRNA from 1 species
UUCACUCCACAUUUGACCUAACCCAUUACCUAUAAAACGGACCUCUACCUUUUUAAUUUCCUAAUUCCUAACACACAAGAACGGCAGCCAUCACCUUAACCCCUCAAUUCCCCGUGGCCAGAUGCAAAAAGAGGCAUAGAAACAAAGCAAAAAAAUGAGGAAAAACGUGACUUUCCUCUUUGUGAUUUUGGGCAACCAUUGAUUCUUUUUCUUGGAAUUCACCAGAGACCAAUGACAUACUCCUACCAAAAAAAUGGAGAAAUGUCCAGAAUUCCCCAAAAACCUUCGGCCACACUUACACCAAAUCACCAUGCCUCUGACGUCGUUGGACUGAUCUCGCCAUUGUUCUCCUUUCAUUUUCUGUUAUUUUUGUGACUUUGGUCAUACAAAAUCAGAUCCGGUUGGUUUUUAAUUUCCCAGCAAGAAGUAGCACCACCGAACUCCAUAGCUGCCGAGCUCUAAUCAGUUUUGUUCUCUUGAAAACUCCAUUUCCUAUUGAGUCGAGGUUGCCGACAAGUUCGAUGUUCAUGUUAGUCCCUGUUUUUAUUCCCUAAUCACAUCUAGCUCACCAAUAUUUGCAGUAAUUGAAUUUCGCUAUUUAAAAAGGAAAGCAGCUGAGGUUAAUUCUUUACUUAUAUAUAUAUAUAUAUAUAUAUAUAUAUAUAUA